rnacentral:rRNA from 1 species
UUGCCUACGGGGGGCAGCAGUGGGGAAUUUUGGACAAUGGGGGCAACCCUGAUCCAGCCAUGCCGCGUGCGGGAAGAAGGCCUUCGGGUUGUAAACCGCUUUUAGCCGGGAAGAAAAGGCGUCCACUAACACUGGGCGUUCUUGACGGUACCGGCGGAAUAAGCACCGGCUAACUACGUGCCAGCAGCCGCGGUAAUACGUAGGGUGCGAGCGUUAAUCGGAAUUACUGGGCGUAAAGCGUGCGCAGGCGGUUGGUUAAGUUUGCGGUGAAAGCCCCGGGCUCAACCUGGGAAUGGCCGUGGAGACUGGCGGGCUGGAGUGCGGCAGAGGGGGGUGGAAUUCCGCGUGUAGCAGUGAAAUGCGUAGAGAUGCGGAGGAACACCGAUGGCGAAGGCAGCCCCCUGGGCCGACACUGACGCUCAGGCACGAAAGCGUGGGGAGCAAACAGGAUUAGAUACCCCAGUAGUCCG